CCUACGGGAGGCAGCAGUGGGGAAUAUUGCGCAAUGGGCGAAAGCCUGACGCAGCGACGCCGCGUGAGGGAUGAAGGUCUUCGGAUCGUAAACCUCUGUCAGCAGGGAAGAACGGUCACUGUGCUAAUCAGCAGUGAAUUGACGGUACCUGCAAAGGCAGCACCGGCUAACUCCGUGCCAGCAGCCGCGGUAAUACGGAGGGUGCGAGCGUUAAUCGGAAUUACUGGGCGUAAAGCGCUCGUAGGCGGUAUGUCAAGUCAAGGGUGAAAGCCCCGCGCUCAACGUGGGAACUGCAUUUGAAACUGGGAAACUGGAGUGUGUGAGAGGAUAGUGGAAGUCCAGGUGUAGCAGUGAAAUCCGUAGAUAUCUGGAGGAACAUCAGUGGCGAAGGCGACUAUCUGGCACAUAACUGACGCUGAGGAGCGAAAGCGUGGGUAGCGAACAGGAUUAGAUACCCGGGUAGUC
rnacentral:rRNA from 1 species